AGUGGACGCUGGCGGUAGGCCUAACACAUGCAAGUCGAACGGCAGCACAGUAAGAGCUUGCUCUUACGGGUGGCGAGUGGCGGACGGGUGAGGAAUACAUCGGAAUCUACUUUUUCGUGGGGGAUAACGUAGGGAAACUUACGCUAGUACCGCAUACGACCUACGGGUGAAAGCAGGGGAUCUUCGGACCUUGCGCGAUUGAAUGAGCCGAUGUCGGAUUAGCUAGUUGGCGGGGUAAAGGCCCACCAAGGCGACGAUCCGUAGCUGGUCUGAGAGGAUGACCAGCCACACUGGAACUGAGACACGGUCCAGACUCCUACGGGAGGCAGCAGUGGGGAAUAUUGGACAAUGGGCGCAAGCCUGAUCCAGCCAUACCGCGUGGGUGAAGAAGGCCUUCGGGUUGUAAAGCCCUUUUGUUGGGAAAGAAAAGCAGCAGGUUAAUACCCCGCUGUCCUGACGGUACCCAAAGAAUAAGCACCGGCUAACUUCGU
rnacentral:rRNA from 1 species